rnacentral:misc_RNA from 1 species
AACGCAUAUUGCGCCCUUUGGUAUUCCGAAGGGCAUGCCUGUUCGAGCGUCAUUAUCAACCAUCAAGCCUGGGCUUGUCGUUGGACUCGUGGUCGUCAUGACCGGUCCGAAAGAUAAUGGACGGCGGUGAUUAGCCCCCGAUGCAACGAGCUUUUAAUAGCACGCAUUGAAGGGUUGGUCACACCCGGCCUCACUCCAUUUUCUCAGGUUGACCUCGGAUCAGGUAGGAAUACCCGCUGAACUUAA